rnacentral:misc_RNA from 1 species
GCAAACUUGGUCAUUUAGAGGAAGUAAAAGUCGUAACAAGGUUUCCGUAGGUGAACCUGCGGAAGGAUCAUUACUGUGAAAGCUGGAGGUCAUGGGCCUCCGGUAGAUUGAUCAACCACUUGUGCACGCAUAGAUUUUUAACGGGCUUUGGCGGAUGUAAAAGUCUGUCAAAGUUUUCGUUUAUCAAUAAACUUGUCUUUAGAUUUGACUGAGUUUUUAUUUUAAUCAAAUAAAACAACUUUCAACAACGGAUCUCUUGGCUCUCGCAUCGAUGAAGAACGCAGC